rnacentral:rRNA from 1 species
UGGGUAUGUUAAUAGCAUAUUCAUUUGACGUUAGCUGCAGAAGAAGCACCGGCUAACUCCGUGCCAGCAGCCGCGGUAAUACGGAGGGUGCGAGCGUUAAUCGGAAUUACUGGGCGUAAAGCGCAUGCAGGUGGUUUGUUAAGUCAGAUGUGAAAGCCCGGGGCUCAACCUCGGGAAUUGCAUUUGAAACUGGCAAACUAGAGUACUGUAGAGGGGGUAGAAUUUCAGGUGUAGCGGUGAAAUGCGUAGAGAUCUGAAGGAAUACCGGUGGCGAAGGCGGCCCCCUGGACAGAUACUGACACUCAGAUGCGAAAGCGUGGGGAGCAAACAGGAUUAGAUAACCUGGUAG